rnacentral:rRNA from 1 species
UACAGAGGGUGCAAGCGUUGUUCGGAAUUAUUGGGCGUAAAGGGCGCGAAGGCGGUGCCACAAGUCACCUGUGAAAUCUCCGGGCUUAACUCGGAGCCUGCAGGCGAAACUGUGGUGCUGGAGUAUGGUAGAGGGUGGUGGAAUUUCCUGUGUAGCGGUGAAAUGCGUAGAUAUAGGAAGGAACACCAGUGGCGAAG